rnacentral:rRNA from 1 species
CCUACGUGAGGCUGCAGUGAGGAAUAUUGGUCAAUGGGCGCUAGCCUGAACCAGCCAAGUAGCGUGAAGGAUGACUGCCCUAUGGGUUGUAAACUUCUUUUAUAUGGGAAUAAAGUGCAGUAUGUAUACUGCUUUGCAUGUACCUUAUGAAUAAGGAUCGGCUAACUCCGUGCCAGCAGCCGCGGUAAUACGGAGGAUCCGAGCGUUAUCCGGAUUUAUUGGGUUUAAAGGGAGCGUAGGCGGGUUGUUAAGUCAGUUGUGAAAGUUUGCGGCUCAACCGUAAAAUUGCAGUUGAUACUGGUAUCCUUGAGUACAGUAGAGUUAGGCGGAAUUCGUGGUGUAGCGGUGAAAGGCUUAGAUAUCACGAAGAACUCCGAUUGCGAAGGCAACCUGCUGGACUGUAACUGACGCUGAUGCUCGAAAGUGUGGGUAUCAAACAGGAUUAGAACCCGAGUAGUC